rnacentral:sRNA from 12 species
AAUGAUACCCUCCCUCAAGGGGGACUCGCGAGAAAAGCAGCGGGGGAAGCAACGCCUCGGAUGAAAAAGGCCGAGGGGGGCAUUC